rnacentral:rRNA from 1 species
UACGUAGGGGGCAAGCGUUGUCCGGAAUCAUUGGGCGUAAAGAGCGUGUAGGCGGCCCGAUAAGUCCGCUGUGAAAGUCCAGGGCUCAACCCUGGGAUGCCGGUGGAUACUGUCGGGCUCGAGUCCGGAAGAGGCGAGUGGAAUUCCUGGUGUAGCGGUGAAAUGCGCAGAUAUCAGGAGGAACACCGGUGGCGAAGGCGGGUCUCUGGGCCGAUACUGACGCUGAGGAGCGAAAGCGUGGGGAGCGAACAGG